UUAAAAUGUGACAGCACCACCUGCUGGUUGGUGACAUGAACUGAGUCCUGAAAGUUUCAUUUGCCCUGUGUUUGGUUUUGUCUGCCAAUUUCUCUUUUGAGGGAGUUUUGUGACAAAAUAUGAGUUUUAAAAUAAAUUUCUUGUAAAACAGAACAAUUUGUGAGCAAUAGUUAAUAGUUAGUUAAAAAAUGCCAAUAAAACACGAAAAACAAUAAUUGACAGCAAUGUCAAACAAUUAUUUGGCACUGAGGCAGAAUGAUAGAGCCAAAACAUGAAAACAGUUGGCCAACAGUUUUCAUGUUCUCGUCACUACGCAUCAAAUAGAAAAAACUGUUUUGCUAUGAGAGCAGAGAAAUGUAAACACUUUGCUGUGAGCAUAUGAACUUAUGUUUCAAUGAGUUUCUGUAAGUGCAAAUAUGAGAAACCAGCAAUACAAUUUCCUUCUUCUAAGGGCUGGUGCCUUAACAUGAGAAGGUCAAGUUUUUAAAACGAUUUAUUUCCCAUUACACUUUUUUUCUAAGGAUUUCCCUGCUCAUAACAAACUCCAUCAGGCAGUCGGCUGAUGGGAAACGUUCACAGUGUGAGUCUGAAGUUUGUCCAGCUGCAGCCUGGUUUCUACGAAGACGUCUCGUCACGUCAAACAACCAGCUGAAACACAAGGUGAGACAUGUCCUCUGUCCUCCUGGUCUGUCUGCUCCUCACGUUAGCUAACCAGAUCACCCAAACAAGAAACGAAAAAAAAAAAAGAAAUUUGCUUUUUAUGGAGCACAGCAAAAAUCUUCUGUUAAAACAAAGUGAUUUGGUUUUCUUCAUUACAAAAUAUUAUAAGCACAAAAUCAAAGAGCGUUCAUGUGAUUACACAACAUUUUUGAUGACAAAACUAUUCCAGUACUUAAAUAGUCACAGGAAACAUCUGAGAAGAAAAAAACCCUUUAUUGCAUCAUCGUCUCUACUUCUUCACAUUUAAAGGAAUGACGAGGCCUUCGGCUCUGUGGAACGAGUCAUCACACGACCAGGUACACUGUCAGCUGUCAUCAUAAACUAAACCCCGCCCCCUGCCCACAGGUACACUGUCAGCUGUCAUCAUAAACUAAACCCCGCCCCCUGCCCACAGGUACACUGUCAGCUGUCAUCA